AUUGAUAACAGUAAGGUCAGAGGUGUUGUGUUGUAAACGGGAACUCUUCGUGUGACGUAGGAAUUACGUCGAGAGUCUGAGGUCAAAGGUUAUGUCAGUGGAUUAGUGUCUCAGGAGGACUGGGUUCAUGUCUCGUAGAAGCAGCAUUGAGGAGGGAUAGAGGCUCAGACACCGACAGCUAUUCAUCCGAGCAGGAUAAAGGACAGAAGGAAGAAAACAACAUUUAGCAGUGAGAUGAGUGGUCUAGAGGGGGUACUGUUGAAGUGGCCCCUGGGUCUGCUGCAGGAAGAGGCGGGAUCCCCCUCUACCCAAGAGAUAAUUCUCCCGGACUACCAAAGCAUACUGCAGGACACAGAGUACGAUUUCAGCCUGGAGAACGGCGUGCUGACCGGCCUGGAAGACGGCUGCCUCCGUCAGCCCGGCCCCCCGGCCCCCCGCUCCCCAUCCCCGGC
ensembl:lncRNA